CAAUAGCGUAUAUUAAAGUUGUUGCAGUUAAAAAGCUCGUAGUUGGAUUUCUGGUUGAAGCGACAGGUCGGGCGUUGAUUCGUCUGCACUGGAGUCGGUUUUGGCCAUCCUCUAGGAAAGUGCGUCUGGUAUUAAGUUAUCGGGCGUAUGAUCCUGGUCUUUUACUGUGAAAAAAUUAGAGUGUUUAAAGCAGGCCUUCGCCUUGAAUACAUUAGCAUGGAAUAAUAAGAUAGGACUUUGGUCUAUUUUGUUGGUUUGCAGACCGAAGUAAUGAUUAAUAGGGAUAGUUGGGGGUAUUUAUAUUCCGAUGUCAGAGGUGAAAUUCUUAGAUUUUCGGAAGAUAAACUUAUGCGAAAGCAUUUACCAAGGAUGUUUUCAUUAA
rnacentral:rRNA from 1 species